UACAGAGGGUGCGAGCGUUAUUCGGAAUUACUGGGCGUAAAGCGUGCGUAGACGGUUAUUUAAGUCGGGUGUGAAAGCCCCGGGCUCAACCUGGGAAUUGCAUUCGAGACUGAAUAGCUAGGGUACGGUAGAGGGAAGUGGAAUUUCCGGUGUAGCGGUGAAAUGCGUAGAUAUCGGAAGGAACAUCAGUGGCGAAGGCGACGUGCUGGACCUCUUCUGACGCUGAGGCGCGAAAGCUAGGGGAGCGAACGGG
rnacentral:rRNA from 1 species